ACUAGUUUUGCUGACUUUAACUCAUGCUAGUGCUAAUCUGGCAAUUGUUUAGCUAGCAUGUGAUACCUCAUGAACUGACUACUAUUUUCAUGGUAGAUGUUUUUCCUGUAUUUUAGCUGUAAUUGGCGUAUUCGCCCUGGGAGAUCAAAACAGGGAGAAUGACUGGAACAUUGAAGACAAGCUAAGGAGGUUAAGAAUGAUCUGGCACAGAGGGGACUGAUAUACUAGAGGAACGAUUGGUUGGUGCAAGGGCAAAUUCCAUCUUAAAUUCUUCUACAGUUGCAGAAACAGAGAGCAACCAUCACACAUUAAGGAACAACUCUGUCCGUUUCGUUUCAUGUGUUUAGCGUUUGAUUCCCCCCCGCCCCCCCUGUUUUCAGGGCCAAUAGACUGACCUUAUUUAGUUACCACCCACUUCUGACAAUUACUGUAUAUAAAGGUGUUUCAACAGACUGUUUGUUAAUGUAACGGCCAUGGUCAAUGUCACAGGAAAAUGCUGUUCAAAUUGAAUUUACUUCUGCUGCUCACUGUCAGAUGUCACACUGCAGAUCUGAUCUUUGAGACAGAAACUGUUGUCGUUGGA